UGGCGGACGGGUGAGUAAUGUCUGGGAAACUGCCCGAUGGAGGGGGAUAACUACUGGAAACGGUAGCUAAUACCGCAUAACGUCGCAAGACCAAAGAGGGGGACCUUCGGGCCUCUUGCCAUCGGAUGUGCCCAGAUGGGAUUAGCUAGUAGGUGGGGUAACGGCUCACCUAGGCGACGAUCCCUAGCUGGCCUGAGAGGAUGACCAGCCACACUGGAACUGAGACACGGUCCAG
rnacentral:rRNA from 1 species